GCGGGGAUCGGCGCGCG
rnacentral:miRNA from 1 species